GUGCCAGCAGCCGCGGUAAGACGGAGGAUGCAAGCGUUAUCCGGAAUUAUUGGGCGUAAAGCGUCCGCAGGUGGCCAUUCAAGUCUGUUGUCAAAGAGCAAGGCUCAACCUUGUAAAGGCAAUGGAAACUGAGUAGCUAGAGUGCGGUAGGGGUAGAGGGAAUUCCCGGUGUAGCGGUGAAAUGCGUAGAUAUCGGGAAGAACACCAGUGGCGAAAGCGCUCUACUGGGCCUGCACUGACACUGAGGGACGAAAGCUAGGGGAGCGAAAGGGAUUAGAUACCCCUGUAGUCCUAGCCGUAAACGAUGGACACUAGGUGUUGCGCGUAUCGACCCGUGCAGUGCCGUAGCUAACGCGUUAAGUGUCCCGCCUGGGGAGUACGCUUGCAAGAGUGAAACUCAAAUGAAUUGACGG
rnacentral:rRNA from 1 species